rnacentral:lncRNA from 1 species
UUCUUCUGGAAAUUUAAGAAUGAAGAUAUAGAGAAACAAGGAAGAAAUUGACCCCGACAAAGAAGAAAGUGCCAAGAAAAAGCAUUUGGAUAAGAAGAGAAAAUUGAAGGAGAUGUUUGAUGAGGAAUAUGAUGAAGGAGAAAGCACAUAUUUUGAUGAUCUUAAAGGAGAAAUGCAGAAACAAGCACAGGUGAUCAGUGGCCCGUGUGGCUUAUGGACACACCAGAGCUCCCAGGGGAAGUGCUCUGAAAACUCAUCCUGGUCAGAGUUCAG